rnacentral:rRNA from 1 species
AUGAACGCUGGCGGCGUGCCUCACACAUGCAAGUCGAACGGAGAUUACGGACGGAAGUUUUCGGAUGGAAGACUGUAAUUCUUAGUGGCGGACGGGUGAGUAACGCGUGGGCAACCUGCCCUAUACAGGGGGAUAGCAGCUGGAAACGGCUGGUAAGACCGCAUAAGUCGGUUAAAUCGCAUGAUUUGAUCGGGAAAUGAGCAAUCAGGUAUAGGAUGGGCCCGCGUCCGAUUAGCCAGUUGGCAGGGUAAAAGCCUACCAAAGCGACGAUCGGUAGCCGGACUGAGAGGUCGGACGGCCACAUUGGGACUGAGACACGGCCCAAAAUCCUACGGGAGGCAGCAGUGGGGGAUAUUGCACAAUGGAGGAAACUCUGAUGCAGCGACGCCGCGUGAGUGAAGAAGUAUUUCGGUAUGUAAAGCUCUAUCAGCAGGGAAGAUGAUGACGGUACCUGACUAAGAAGCCCCGGCUAACUACGUG